rnacentral:rRNA from 1 species
GAUGAACGCUGGCGGCGUGCCUAAUACAUGCAAGUCGAGCGCACGGACGAUACGCUUGCUUUUCUGACGUUAGCGGCUGACGGGUGAGUAACACGUUGAUAACCUACUUAUCAGACUGGGAUCACUUCGUGACACUGGAGCUAAUACCGUAUAAUAUCUUGAACUGCAUGGUUCAAAAGUGAUAGACGGUCUUGCUGUCACUUAUCGAUGGAUCCGCGCUGUAUUUGCUAUUUGGUAAGGUAACGGCUUACCAAGGCAACGAUGCAUAGCCGACCGGAGAGGGUGAUGGGCCACACUGGAACUGGAACAGGGUCCGGACUCCUACGGGAGGAAGAGGAGGGGAAUCUUCGGCAAUGGGCGAAGGCUUGACGGACAAACGCGGCGUGGGUAAGGAGGGUCUUCGGAUCGUAAAACUCGGUUAUUAGGGAAGAACAGAUGUGUAGGGAACUGUGCACAUCUUGACGGUACCUAAUCAGAAAGCGACGGCUAACUACGUG